AUCCGUGUACGUCGUUGUGUCUA
rnacentral:siRNA from 1 species